AAUGAACGUUGGCGGCAUGGAUUAGGCAUGCAAGUCGGGGGAAUCCCAGCAAUGGGGGAACCGGCGUAAGGGGCAGUAAGGCAUGGGUACCUACCUUGGGGUUCGGGAUAGCCAUCAGAGAUGGUGGGUAAUACCGGAUGACGUCGUGAGACCAAAGAUUCAUCGCCCUUAGAGGGGCCCAUGUGAUAUUAGCUAGUUGGUGGGGUAACGGCCCACCAAGGCGAAGAUGUCUAGCGGGUGUGAGAGCACGACCCGCGCCACUCGCACUGAGACACUGGCGAGACACCUACGGGUGGCUGCAGUCGAGGAUCUUCGGCAAUGAGCGCAAGCUUGACCGAGCGAUGCCGCGUGAGCGAUGAAGGCCUUCGGGUUGUAAAGCUCUUUAGUGGGGGAGAAAAGCCGCAAGGUGUGAUCUAUCCCAAAAAUAAGCACGGGCUAAGUUCGUGCCAGCAGCCGCGGUAA
rnacentral:rRNA from 1 species